rnacentral:rRNA from 1 species
AUGCCGGCCUCUCCUCUGCCUCUCCCUCUCGACGUCGCCGGCCUCUACCACCACCCUCCGCCCCUUGUACCUCUGUUGUUCUUUCUCUCCACAUCACAUCUCAACGGUUUGUGCGGUCGUGUGCAGGCACUGUCCUCCCAUCUCAUCUUCUUGCGUGGUGAAGGAAUGAGGCCAGGCCAUGGAGAGAAAAGCUCAUGCUCAUGUCGAUUCAAGAGGAGAGGAGGGCCAUGGAGGGAGAAGCCUGCUGCUGCAAUGCCUACCUCGUCGUCCUCAUGGAGAAGGCCACGGAGAUGGCUGCGGAUCAAACUGCUGCACUUGGGGCAGAGAAGGAGAAGGGUUGGUGAUGGAUCCGCAGGGGUGCUGGAUCAGAAGUUGCCUGGAUCACCAUCGCCUGGAUGA